GUACUGUGCUAAAUAUUUUAAGUGAAUGAUUUUUAUGAAUCCUCAUGGUAGCCUUGUCAGUAUGCACUGUAAUACCCUCAUCCCGUGGAAGACAUGCUUCUUCUUGGUGUGGUUAGGUCAACACUGCCAAGGUCAAGCAGUGAGAUGAACCCGGUACCUCAGAUGGAAAUGCAGAAAUCACCCGUCUUCUGCGUCGCUCACGCUGGGAGCUGUAGACCGGAGCUGUUCCUAUUCGGCCAUCUUGGCUCCUCCUGUAACAAUUUCUUGAGUUCUAGGAAGUCAGCAUGAAUCGGCUUUAUGUUCCCUGCCUCCAGACCCUAUUCUCCUGCCUCACAGGGAGUGACCUUACAGAAAGGCAUUUUUUUUUUUUUAAUUGGAAGUUUCUUUCAAACUCUGCCUGCUUUUAGAUGGCUCCUCUUGGAACUAUGCCUCAACAUCUCUCCUGAUACUUGGAUGUUUUUCCUCUGACUGAUGAAGAUCCUGAAUACCAAAGAGGGCCGCUGACAGGCCCAGGAGUAUACUUCUAGCACCUAGCAGAGAGAGGCUUCACUACAUCAUGCUUCCUGACAUCUCUCCCUUUGAAGAGCAGUCAGACUCCUGCUUUGCUCUUCAGACUUAAUUUGGGGGUUUAACAGCCAUGUGAAGUGCUCACUCCCCCUUUGCCUUCUGCCAUGAUUGUAAGUUUCCUGAGGCCUCCCCAGAAGCUGAGCAGAUGCUUCCUGUACAGCCUGCAGAACUGGAUAGCCCAGAGCUAUUCCAUGGAUGGGCACAUUUGGAAGUUUGGUUCUAAAAUCUAAAAGAAGAAAUUUAAGUGUGCUGAAGAUAACUGCAACUCCAAACCUAACGCUGUGUAGUUCUAUGUUCUGCCAUCUUGAAGCAAAGUGGAACCAGAAGUGAGAGGUUUGAAUGAGAGAGGGAGAAGCACAUUUCCAAUCAUUGGGGGAACCUGAGACCAUUCUCUCCAACCCAUUUUGCCAAAUGGAUGUCCUGAGGAAGGUGUUCCAAGAGAGGUGAUGUCAGGUUAGUGUCUGAUUGGAGGGUGCCCAAGGCACAUGGGAGAAUGUGGAAGAACUGGAAAGACUUGGGUGUUGCUGAUGUUAAAUUACUUAGGUAUCUCUGUAGAAACUUGGUGGGUCAUUCCUUCUCUUCACAAUCCCUUUCUUAAAUUUAUGAUAAACAUGAAAGGUAAUCAAAACAAAAGCGGGCAAAAUGGGAAAAGAAGUUCCCACUUUAACUUUUUCUGGAUAUUUAAAGGUCUACUGGGGCAAAUGUGAUGAAAAUUAAAAAAAAUAAAAAACAUUGCAGAUCAUCAG